AGAUCCCCUCUUUUGGUAUCUUCUAGUGAGCUCAACCCAAGGGCUGCUAUUCUGAGCUAACCUCAGUACCCACAGAGGGCUCCAUGACCCAUCCGCCGACUGCUGAGCUUGCUAUGAGCCUAACUGCAACUCUGAGCCUGGUUUUCCCUCCCAUCUGGCAGUGAAAAUGAACUGCUGCUGACUGAAUGACCACUGAUUCUCUUGGAAGCAGAGCUCUGCUAAGAGCAACAGCCAACUCUGUCACCAUUUGUGAGGAUUUGUAGCUUGGGCCCUGAGACAUCUGGCUGAGAUAUUUACGCAGUCCUGUAUUGCGCUCGCUGAGGCUCUGCGUUCACAUCUGGAGUCUAGACUGAGUGACUCUAUGGGCUGGCCUUCAAGCCUCCGAACAGCUCAUGUCCCUCUUGUUCUUUCAUUUUGUCCUUUUAUUGCUUUAUUGGUUUAUUUAUUUGCUGUAGGUGCUCCUAUCACAACUCUUCAGACAUUCCUGUCAUGGCCACUUGAGAGCUUCAGUGAGGAAUGGCAGCAACUGAAAGAAACCAGGCAGAACCAGAUGGGAUGGGUAGGGGAAAAAAGGCUGUGUUGAGGCAAGGCUUUGAUUGCGUGGUUAUGGUGACGGGGGAUGGCUGGUGCUUGAUUGCACUGUUUCUUCUGAGGCAUACAGCUGUGUUUGUGGGAAAUGACAAUGCUCAUCUGAACAGGGCUUGCAUUCAACACAUGUGGCAGGGAGCAGUGGUUUCGGUAAGCUGUUAGCUGACCACAUGGCUGAGCCAGACAGGGGGAUGUGUUGCCCAGUACCCCGAGUCAGAUCCAUCAGUGGGAUGCAGUUACAACCUGGGUCAUGGCAGAGCUUUCUGCCUAAAGCUGGCUGAAGCAGUACUCUGGCUAGAGAUAACCUCCAUUCAGUGUCCUCAGGGGUAAGCAGGGGGCCAAGACCUAAACCAGGACAUGAUGGGUAGAAUUCAGGGCCAAAAUGUAGAGAUCUGAGAUACCUGAGUUGCUGGCACAGGACUGGUAGAAUAGGACAGACCUAGAGCCCCUAAAAGAGACAUCCAGGUUUAGGAAAUUAAUCUCUUCCACUAUUUCCUAUGUUCUGCCUUUGCGUUUAGUUGGGAAUCAUAUUUUAAAUUUGGGAUGCUACGAGCUGUAGCCCCGUACUGGUGCCGUACGUUUAUCUGAGCACUGGCCCCAACAAUAUUAGCAGCUACUGCUAUUCCACACUGGGAGCAAAUCUUCCCAGAUAGUGCUGCUCUCAUUCUCAGCCUCUUCAUUUCUUUCUCUGAGCCUUUAGUCUAUUAGUUCCAUUUGCUCCUCUGUCUGUACCAUAUUCUCCUUUGCUUUAGUUGCCUAACAGGCCUGUUGGCUGCUGCUGGAGAAAUGCUGCUGGAGAGUCAAGGGCCAAAUAUUUUUGACAACUGUGAAGUUAGGACAAACGCAGUGGAGAAACUGAAUGAUCUAAUAGGAAGAAUGAAUGUAGUGCUUGAAAAGAUGGGUGCUGUGGAUGUACCUGUUUGUGCAGGUAGAUCUGGAUAUGUAUUUGGAUAUAGGUAAGCCAGAAUCUACAAUAAGAGAAUGUCACAAACUCUAGAAAUUCAAGCACUGAAAUACAGUUCAAUUCACCCUUUAAAGAAUGGUAAAAAGGAAUUUCAGAUAUUUUCUGUGCACUUAAAGUAGCCAGCAACACCGUGAUGGCAGUUCUAAGUAAAGGGCCUUAAUCAGAGUAUAUAAAAAGCCUGAUGAUGUUUGAAAAGCAGGUCCAGCUCCCAAGCAUUGUCUCUUUCCCACUAUCAAUGACACCCAUUGUGCAGUAACAACAUUUGCACAGAGAUAUGUCUUGUUUUGUGCACAGAGAAUGUAUCGAAGCAGUCAUAGGGCUGCAUUAGCCUUGGCUAAAAAAGUCCCCAAGGGCCCGUCUGCCAGCUGCUGACUGAUGUAGAGCCACCACUGCUGAUAAUAGGGUACAUGUGCUGGCUUUGAGCUGAACUAGGCAAUCUAGGGCACAGUUAGAUGUGCUCAACAAGGAUCGAGUUCAAACCUGUUUAAGAAGUUAGUUCCUGUCAGCGGUGAUUUAAGCUAAGUGGUUUUUCUGUGGAUUAGGAAGGACGAGAAAUGCUCACGCAGUCAGCUACUUCAUCUUGGCUGUCACAGUGGUGAUUUCAACACAGCCAGGGGAGUCAGAAAGACAACAAACAGCUGAGAUCUGUAACUUCCUAAAUCAAACAGGCACAAGCUGCUGAAGGUGUAUUUCUACGAGAUGUUUGUCUGCUUGUAUGUAGCAGAAUUAUGCUGCCUACUUUGCUUCUUGCAAGUAAAUGGAAUCAAGAAGUGCCUAGACUUUGAAGAUGUAGAUCAUUGUCCAAGACUGGGAAAAGCUGCUGUUGACUGAAUGUUGCUGAUCCAUUCAGCAGCUCAACUGCAGCAGGAAGAGUAUCAGUGUGGUUGAGGCUCGAAAACAUGGGUUUUUGCUGCAGAGAUUGACAUACCAUGGCUGAAGAGAGCAUGUAAAUUUCCCCUAAAAAAAGGUCACUGCAAGAUUCGAGAAAUGUAAACACACUAAUAAUUAGACAAAAGAACAUGGUACGUGGCAUCUGUGUUAAUGUCACCUGAAUUCUUCAUCAGCCACGUUCCUUCUAGGAAUAUCCCACAUGUGGUAAGCAGGAUAUACCUUUGUGCGAAUAGUGUUUUACACCAUCUGGCAUCACUGAGGUCAGCUGCCCUGUCUUCCAGGCUUAGGAGCCAAAAUUGGCCUUGUAUCAGAACAGUCAUAUUGUGAAGCAGCUAAGCAGAGCUCCUCUGUGUUUCCCAAUAUUAUUCAGUUCCUUCUUCAGAAGAUCAUGCUUUACACAGCAGGAAAUGCAACUAGAGGUCUUCCUAAUAGUUAGUGCCUCCUCAAAGUAUUAAUGCCAUAUUCUCGUGGAGUUCUGGAGCAGCAGUUCAGCUGCUAAGCAUUCUUUUUCCUGAGAGAUCAUAGUGAGAGCACUUUUCAAGAUCCAGAACA